GACGAACGCUGGCGGCGUGCCUAAUACAUGCAAGUAGAACGCUGAAGGAGGAGCUUGCUUCUCUGGAUGAGUUGCGAACGGGUGAGUAACGCGUAGGUAACCUGCCUGGUAGCGGGGGAUAACUAUUGGAAACGAUAGCUAAUACCGCAUAAUAGUAGAUGUUGCAUGACAUUUGCUUAAAAGGUGCAAUUGCAUCACUACCAGAUGGACCUGCGUUGUAUUAGCUAGUUGGUGGGGUAACGGCUCACCAAGGCGACGAUACAUAGCCGACCUGAGAGGGGGAUCGGCCACACUGGGACUGAGACACGGCCCAGACUCCUACGGGAGGCAGCAGUAGGGAAUCUUCGGCAAUGGACGGAAGUCUGACCGAGCAACGCCGCGUGAGUGAAGAAGGUUUUCGGAUCGUAAAGCUCUGUUGUAAGGGAAGAACGAGGGUGAGAGUGGAAAGUUCACACUGUGACGGUAUCUGACCAGAAAGGGACGGCUAACUACGUG
rnacentral:rRNA from 1 species